ACUGGUUUCUUGACACCUCACUUC
rnacentral:miRNA from 1 species